rnacentral:rRNA from 1 species
CCAACGCUGGCGGCGUGCUUAACACAUGCAAGUCGAACGGAAUUGAGGGGCUUGCUCCUCAAUUUAGUGGCGCACGGGUGAGUAACGCGUGGAUAAUCUACCUGAAGAUCCGGGAUAACAUUUCGAAAGGGGUGCUAAUACCGGAUAAGCCCACGGGGACUUUGGUUCUUGCGGGAAAAGAGGGGGACCUUCGGGCCUCUUGUCAUCAGAUGAGUCCGCGUACCAUUAGCUAGUUGGUGGGGUAAAGGCCCACCAAGGCGACGAUGGUUAGCUGGUCUGAGAGGAUGAUCAGCCACACUGGAACUGAGACACGGUCCAGACUCCUACGGGAGGCAGCAGUGGGGAAUUUUGCGCAAUGGGGGAAACCCUGACGCAGCAACGCCGCGUGAGUGAUGAAGGCCUUCGGGUCGUAAAGCUCUGUCUAGAGGAAAGAAAUGUAUGGGGGCUAAUACCCUUUGUACUUGACGGUACCUCUGAAGGAAACACCGGCUAACUCCGUGCCAGCAGCCGCGGUAAUACGGAGGGUGCGAGCGUUGCUCGGAAUUAUUGGGCGUAAAGCGCGUGUAGGCGGUUUCUUAAGUCUGAUGUGAAAGCCCCGGGCUCAGCCUGGGAAGUGCAUUGGAUACUGGGAGACUUGAAUACGGGAGAGGGCAGUGGAAUUCCUAGUGUAGGAGUGAAAUCCGUAGAUAUUAGGAGGAACACCGGUGGCGAAGGCGGCUGCCUGGACCGAUAUUGACGCUGAGACGCGAAAGCGUGGGGAGCAAACAGGAUUAGAUACCCUGGUAGUCCACGCUGUCAAAGUAGACGGAUUAUUUUUUUU